rnacentral:rRNA from 1 species
GGACCUGACUGCUAUCGGAUUGAUACUAAGCCAUGCGAGUCAUUGUAGCAAUACAAGGCAUACGGCUCAGUAACGCGUAGUCAACCUAACCUAUGGACGGGAAUAACCUCGGGAAACUGAGAAUAAUGCCCGAUAGAACAUUAUGCCUGGAAUGGUUUAUGUUCCAAAUGAUUUAUCGCCGUAGGAUGGGACUGCGGCCUAUCAGUUUGUUGGUGAGGUAAUGGCCCACCAAGACUAUUACAGGUACGGGCUCUGAGAGGAGUAGCCCGGAGAUGGGUACUGAGACACGGACCCAGGCCCUAUGGGGCGCAGCAGGCGAGAAAACUUUGCAAUGUGCGAAAGCACGACAAGGUUAAUCCGAGUGGUUUCUGCUAAAGAAACCUUUUGUCAGUCCUAGAAACACUGAUGGAUAAGGGGUGGGCAAGUUCUGGUGU